rnacentral:rRNA from 1 species
GACGAACGCUGGCGGCGUGCUUAACACAUGCUUUUCGAACGGAAAGGCCCUGCUUUUGUGGGGUGCUCGAGUGGCGAACGGGUGAGUAACACGUGAGUAACCUGCCCUUGACUUUGGGAUAACUUCAGGAAACUGGGGCUAAUACCGGAUAGGAGCUCCUGCUGCAUGGUGGGGGUUGGAAAGUUUCGGCGGUUGGGGAUGGACUCGCGGCUUAUCAGCUUGUUGGUGGGGUAGUGGCUUACCAAGGCUUUGACGGGUAGCCGGCCUGAGAGGGUGACCGGCCACAUUGGGACUGAGAUACGGCCCAGACUCCUACGGGAGGCAGCAGUGGGGAAUAUUGCACAAUGGGCGGAAGCCUGAUGCAGCAACGCCGCGUGCGGGAUGACGGCCUUCGGGUUGUAAACCGCUUUCGCCUGUGACGAAGCGUGAGUGACGGUAAUGGGUAAAGAAGCACCGGCUAACUACGUGCCAGCAGCCGCGGUGAUACGUAGGGUGCGAGCGUUGUCCGGAUUUAUUGGGCGCAAAGGGCUCGUAGGUGGUUGAUCGCGUCGGAAGUGUAAUCUUGGGGCUUAACCCUGAGCGUGCUUUCGAUACGGGUUGACUUGAGGAAGGUAGGGGAGAAUGGAAUUCCUGGUGGAGCGGUGGAAUGCGCAGAUAUCAGGAGGAACACCAGUGGCGAAGGCGGUUCUCUGGGCCUUUCCUGACGCUGAGGAGCGAAAGCGUGGGGAGCGAACAGGCUUAGACACCCUGGUAGUCCACGCUGUAAACGGUGGGUACUAGGUGUGGGGUCCAUUCCACGGGUUCCGUGCCGUAGCUAACGCUUUAAGUACCCCGCCUGGGGAGUACGGCCGCAAGGCUAAAAUUCAAAGGAAUUGACGGGGCCCCGCACAAGCGGCGGAGCAUGCGGAUUAAUUCGAUGCAACGCGUAGAACCUUACCUGGGUUUGACAUGGAUCGGGAGUGCUCAGAGAUGGGUGUGCCUCUUUUGGGGUCGGUUCACAGGUGGUGCAUGCCUGUCGUCAGCUCGUGUCGUGAGAUGUUGGGUUAAGUCCCGCAACGAGCGCAACCCUUGUUCACUGUUGCCAGCACGUUAUGGUGGGGACUCAGUGGAGACCGCCGGGGUCAACUCGGAGGAAGGUGGGGAUGACGUCAAGUCACCAUGCCCCUUAUGUCCAGGGCUUCACGCAUGCUACAAUGGCUGGUACAGAGAGUGGCGAGCCUGUGAGGGUGAGCGAAUCUCGGAAAGCCGGUCUCAGUUCGGAUUGGGGUCUGCAACUCGACCUCAUGAAGUCGGAGUCGCUAGUAAUCGCAGAUCAGCAACGCUGCGGUGAAUACGUUCCCGGG